rnacentral:rRNA from 1 species
GACGAACGCUGGCGGCGUGCUUAACACAUGCAAGUCGAGCGAUUAAAGCCCCCUUCGGGGGGUGUAUAGAGUGGCGAACGGGUGAGUAACACGUGGGCAAUCUGCCUCAAGGACCGGGAUAACUUCGGGAAACCGGAGCUAAUACCGGAUAACAACGUAGUGUCGCAUGGCACUUCGUUCAAAUGGUCCGCCUCCUUGAGAUGAGCCCGCGGCCCAUUAGCUUGUUGGUAGGGUAACGGCCUACCAAGGCUGCGAUGGGUAGCCGACCUUGGAGGGUGACCGGCCACGUUGGGACGGAGACACGGCCCAGACUCCUAUGGGAGGCAGCAGUGGGGAAUUUUGCGCAAUGGGGGAAACCCUGACGCAGCAACGCCGCGUGCGGGAUGACGGCCUUCGGGUUGUAAACCGCUGUCAGGAGGGACGAAGCGAAAGUGACGGUACCUCCAGAGGAAGCCCCGGCUAAUUACGUGCCAGCAGCCGCCGCGG